CAGCUCGGUCUGACAAUGGAGCACUUGGGUUUAGAUUUUUUACAAUUGCCGAAAGGAUAAUGGGAAAUGUAUGAAUACUGACUUCCAAAAACGGUAAAGUAAACCACUUUGUGGUCGUCUAUCUGGUAAUCUACACUGGGGAAAUGAGUUCCUGAGCUGCUGCUGAACACUGGAGGAGCUGACGAAAGGAGACUUAAGAGAUUUAAAUGGCACUGGAAUAAUGGUGUGCUGGAUUACUUUAGUCGUAUCCCAAAGGCCCAGUUGGAGCAUGCUGAGAGAGAAGACACUGGGUAUCAUGAUGCAGCUCUAUGGACUUGAGAAUGCUGUGAGAAUCUCGCUGGAGAUCCUUAGGAAGAUCAACCUCAACAUUCUUGCUGAGGGACUACAAAUUGACAACAGGUAAUCAGCAAUUACAGAGGAGACAGAUAAACCUCAAUCAGAGGAGAACACUGCUCCUGAACCUCUUCCACCAGAGGAGACAAAGCCUCCAAAACCGUCUCUCCCAGAGGAGGAUCUCCUGUCCUCUGUGCCAUGACAUCUUCAGGGAUCCUGUCAUCCUGCUAUGUAGUCACAGCGUCUGUAAAGCCUGUCUGCAAGAACAGAGAAGGAAGGAAAUGAAUGUUCUGUUUGCAGGAGAAGAGAUCCAAUAAGUCCAACAAGCGAUCCAAAAAGUCCAACAGGAUCAGAGUUGCUCUGCUGUCUGCACAGUGAGAAACUUAAGCUCUUCUGUCUGGAGGAUAAACAGCCAGCGUGUGUGGUGUGUCGGAUUUUUUUUAAAACACACCAAACACAACUUCAGACCCAUAGAUGAAGCUGCACAGGACCACAAGGUAUGAUUAGUUAAAGAUGUGAAGUUAAACACAGAAAUGGUUCAUAUAAUAUCCCCACGCUCCUCUUUCACCGAUAACAUCCCCACAUUCCAGGAGGAACUCCAGUCUGCCCUGAAGCCCUUAUAGGAGACGCUGGGUUAUUUAAAUAUUAUUAAACAAACCUGUGAUCAAACAGCAGAACACAUCAAAGUAAGGAUAGUGAGUGAUGAGAAAAUACUGGGAUCUCUACAUACUGUAGAUGCCUGGGAUUAACUGAUAACUACCAUUCCUCUCACUGUCUCUAGAGCCAGGCCCAGACCACAGAGAGACAGAUUAGGGAGGCAUUUGACAAUCUUCACCAGCUUCUACAAGAUAAGGAGUAUGCCAGGAUAGCUGCGCUGAGGGAGGAAGAGGAGCAGAAGAGUUAGUUGAUGAAACAGAAGAUUGAGAAGAUCAGCAGAGAUAUCAUCACUUUCAGACACACUCAGAGCCAUAGAGGAUGAGCCGAAAUCUGAAGACAUAUCUUUCUUGCAAGUCAGAACUAAUAUGUUUAUUGACUGAUCAAUAAAUAUUGAUUGAUUGUUUCAUUAAA